rnacentral:lncRNA from 1 species
GUGUUGAAAGUGAAAGGUAUUGAUAGGUAUUUAUAAAUAAUAAAAAAUUCAAAAUUUUUUAGAAUUUUUAAAAAAAAAGUUCAAUUUUUUUUUCAUAAUUUUAUUGUUCAAAAAAUGUCAGCCGUUGGAUUGGAUUCGGAGAAGCAGAUCGGAACGCUAGGGGCGUGACACAUGGCUUCUUCCCGUUGGAGGUGGCGUCGCGCUGACGUCACAACACGCGGACUUCACCUCGGGCUGAACUGGCUUUCAAGCCAGCCCAAAUUGGUGGGACCCACUCCCAGCCCGAACUUGGGCUCACCGCUGGAAUGAGUUUUUUUUUUUUUUC